rnacentral:rRNA from 1 species
UACAGAGGGUGCGAGCGUUGUCCGGAAUCACUGGGCGUAAAGGGCGCGUAGGUGGCGCCGCAAGUCCAUGGUGAAAGCUCGAUGCUCAACAUCGAGUCGGCCACGGAGACUGCGGGGCUCGAGUACUGUAGGGGCAGAUGGAAUUCCGGGUGUAGCGGUGGAAUGCGUAGAGAUCCGGAAGAACACCGGUGGCGAAGGCGGUCUGCUGGGCAGUAGCUGACGCUGAGGCGCGACAGCGUGGGGAGCAAACAGG